rnacentral:rRNA from 1 species
AUUGAACGCUGGCGGCAUGCUUUACACAUGCAAGUCGAACGGUAACAGGCCGCAAGGUGCUGACGAGUGGCGAACGGGUGAGUAAUGCAUCGGAACGUGCCCAGUCGUGGGGGAUAACUACUCGAAAGAGUAGCUAAUACCGCAUACGAUCUAUGGAUGAAAGCGGGGGACCGUAAGGCCUCGCGCGAUUGGAGCGGCCGAUGUCAGAUUAGGUAGUUGGUGGGGGAAAGGCUCACCAAGCCAACGAUCUGUAGCUGGUCUGAGAGGACGACCAGCCACACUGGGACUGAGACACGGCCCAGACUCCUACGGGAGGCAGCAGUGGGGAAUUUUGGACAAUGGGCGCAAGCCUGAUCCAGCAAUGCCGCGUGCAGGAAGAAGGCCUUCGGGUUGUAAACUGCUUUUGUACGGAACGAAACGGCUCUGGUUAAUACCCGGGGCUAAUGACGGUACCGUAAGAAUAAGCACCGGCUAACUACGUG